UGUAAGUAUAAUCAUAAAUUUUCGUGUCCAACUUUAUUUGAAAGUUUGUUAUGAUUAGUAUUUUAUCGUUAUUAGAUGAUAAAAUAUAAAUAGUACUUAUACACAACUCAUAUUUUUUAACUUUUAAAAAAAAAAACCUUUUAAAUAAGACGGACGAUCAAAAUUGUACACGAAAAAUCAUGGCUGUAUUUUAA
rnacentral:pre_miRNA from 1 species